CCUACGGGUGGCAGCAGUGGGGAAUAUUGCACAAUGGGGGAAACCCUGAUGCAGCGACGCCGCGUGAGCGAUGAAGUAUUUCGGUAUGUAAAGCUCUAUCAGCAGGGAAGAAAAUGACGGUACCUGACUAAGAAGCCCCGGCUAACUACGUGCCAGCAGCCGCGGUAAUACGUAGGGGGCAAGCGUUAUCCGGAUUUACUGGGUGUAAAGGGGGCGUAGACGGCGGGGCAAGUCAGAUGUGAAAGCCCGGGGCUCAACCCAGGGACUGCAGUUGGAACUGUGCUGCUAGAGUGUCGGAGAGGCAGGCGGAAUGCCUAGUGUAGCGGUGAAAUGCGUAGAGAUUAGGAGGAACACCAGUGGCGAAGGCGGCCUGCUGGACGAUGACUGACGUUGAGGCUCGAAAGCGUGGGGAGCAAACAGGAUUAGAUACCCCAGUAGUC
rnacentral:rRNA from 1 species